UAAGACUGAGAACUGAUGACGAGGUCCCUUGAGGACUGAAGUUGUUGAUGCCAUGCUUCCAGGAAAAGCUUCUAAGCUUCAGGUUAUAACGAACCGUACCCCAAACCGACACAGGUGGUCAGGUAGAGAAUACUAAGGCGCAUGAGAGAACUCGGGUGAAGGAACUAGGCAAAAUGGUGCCGUAACUUCGGGAGAAGGCACGCUGCUGGCGGUGACGGGCUUUACGCUCUGAGCUGCUGGCAGUCGAAGAUACCAGGUGGCUGCGACUGUUUAUUAAAAACAUAGCACUGUGCAAACACGAAAGUGGACGUAUACGGUGUGACGCCUGCCCGGUGCCGGAAGGUUAAUUGAUGGGGUUAGCUUCGGCGAAGCUCUUGAUCGAAGCCCCGGUAAACGGCGGCCGUAACUAUAACGGUCCUAAGGUAGCGAAAUUCCUUGUCGGGUAAGUUCCGACCUGCACGAAUGGCGUAACGAUGGCCACACUGUCUCCACCCGAGACUCAGUGAAAUUGAAAUCGCAGUGAAGAUGCUGUGUACCCGCGGCUAGACGGAAAGACCCCGUGAACCUUUACUAUAGCUUCACAGUGGACUUUGACAUUACUUGUGUAGGAUAGCUGGGAGGCUUUGAAGCAUGGUCGCUAGAUCGUGUGGAGCCAAUCUUGAAAUACCAGCCUGGUACUGUUGAGGUUCUAACUCUGUUCCCUUAUCGGGAUCGAGGACAUUGUGUGGUGGGUAGUUUGACUGGGGCGGUCUCCUCCCAAAGAGUAACGGAGGAGCACGAAGGUACCCUCAGCAUGGUCGGAAAUCAUGCAUUGAGUGCAAGCGCAUAAGGGUGCUUAACUGCGAGACAGACACGUCGAGCAGGUACGAAAGUAGGUGCUAGUGAUCCGGUGGUUCUGUAUGGAAGGGCCAUCGCUCAACGGAUAAAAGGUACUCCGGGGAUAACAGGCUGAUUCCUCCCAAGAGUUCACAUCGACGGGGGAGUUUGGCACCUCGAUGUCGGCUCAUCACAUCCUGGGGCUGAAGCCGGUCCCAAGGGUAUGGCUGUUCGCCAUUUAAAGUGGUACGCGAGCUGGGUUUAGAACGUCGUGAGACAGUUCGGUCCCUAUCUGCCGUGGGCGUUUGAGAUUUGAGAAGAGUUGCUCCUAGUACGAGAGGACCGGAGUGAACGAACCUCUGGUGUUCCGGUUGUCACGCCAGUGGCAUUGCCGGGUAGCUACGUUCGGACGGGAUAACCGCUGAAAGCAUCUAAGCGGGAAGCCCCCUUCAAGAUGAGAUCUCGCUGGGAACUUGAUUCCCCUAAAGAGCCGUUUAAGACUAAGACGUUGAUAGGCUGGGUGUGGAAGCGCUGCGAGGCGUUGAGCUAACCAGUACUAAUUGCUCGUGAGGCUUGACCAU
rnacentral:rRNA from 1 species